rnacentral:rRNA from 1 species
CCAGCUCCAAUAGCGUAUAUUCAAUUUGCUGCAGUUAAAAAGCUCGUAGUUGGGUGGGGGAGGAAGAUGAAAGAGGGAGAAGGGGAACCGGAUCCUGAAUUGUUUUCUUCCAUUUAAUGGAGAGUAGUCUUGUAGGUGCUCUUAACUGGGCGCUUACAACGACCUCUCCCGUUGACCGUGCUUAAAUUCGCGUGUUCAAAGCAAGCAUAUUAUAUCGCUUGAAGAGUCUAGCAUGGGAUCAUAAAAUACGGACUUGGUUUCGAGAUUUUUCUUCUCAUCUCCCAAGUCAAUGACAAAUAGGGGCAAGCGGGGGCAGAGGGAUUCCAUCGUUAGAGGUGAAAUUCUUAGACCGAUGGAGGACCAACAGAAGCCAAAGCGUCUGUCAAGGGUGUGCCCAUUGACCAAGAACGAAAGUUAGUGGAUCAAAUACGAUCAGACACCGUAGUAGUCCUAACCUUAAACGAUACCGACCGGGGAUGGGGUAAGGUAUAUAAUUACACUUACCUAUCCUGUACCCUGCGAGAAAUCAAGAGUGUUUGGGUUCCGGGGGGAGUACGGUCGCAAGGCUGAAACUUAAAGGAAUUGACGGAAGGGCAAACCAGAAGUGGAACCUGCGGCUUAAUUCGACUCAAC